rnacentral:rRNA from 1 species
CCUACGGGUGGCAGCAGUGGGGAAUAUUGGACAAUGGGGGGAACCCUGAUCCAGCCAUGCCGCGUGUGUGAAGAAGGCCCUCGGGUUGUAAAGCACUUUCAGUGAGGAAGAACGCCUGGUGGUUAAUACCCAUCAGGAAAGACAUCACUCACAGAAGAAGCACCGGCUAACUCCGUGCCAGCAGCCGCGGUAAUACGGAGGGUGCGAGCGUUAAUCGGAAUUACUGGGCGUAAAGCGCGCGUAGGUGGCUUGAUAAGCCGGUUGUGAAAGCCCCGGGCUCAACCUGGGAACGGCAUCCGGAACUGUCAAGCUAGAGUGCAGGAGAGGAAGGUAGAAUUCCCGGUGUAGCGGUGAAAUGCGUAGAGAUCGGGAGGAAUACCAGUGGCGAAGGUGGCCUUCUGGACUGACACUGACACUGAGGUGCGAAAGCGUGGGUAGCAAACAGGAUUAGAUACCCGAGUAGUC